rnacentral:rRNA from 1 species
AACGAACGCUGGCGGCGUGGAUAAGACAUGCAAGUCGAACGCUGAUUUCAGGGUAGCAAUAUUCUGGAGUCGGAGUGGCGCAAGGGUGCGUAACACGUGGGUAAUUUGCCAUGAAGCCCGGAAUAACUCGCUGAAAGGCGAGCUAAUACCGGAUGUGAUCUUCGGGAGGCAUCUCCUGAACCUUAAAGCUGGGGACCGUAAGGCCUGGCACUUCUUGAUAAGCCCGCGGCCUAUCAGCUAGUUGGUGAGGUAACGGCUCACCAAGGCUAAGACGGGUAGCUGGUCUGAGAGGACGACCAGUCACACUGGAACUGAGACACGGUCCAGACACCUACGGGUGGCAGCAGUCGAGAAUUUUUCUCAAUAGGC